CGACUUUCCUGGAGAGCGAUGAUGUUCCUUCUUCCUUCUCGUUCCCUCGGAGUCCUGUGGUCUCUUCCCUUCGUGGUCGGCGAAGUGAGUUGGGGCACAUUUUCGGGGACGCGCUAACCCUCCCACUUGAGAGACCGCAUUCGCUUCACAAACAGAUGCCUCUAAGCUCGGCUAAUAGAACCGCGAAAAACCGUCGAUCCGUCGCGAAAAAGAAUACGAGAGCGUUAUGCAACCACGCCCGGUAUGCGCACAAUCGAACGAACGGAGCCGUCCUGCCUUUGUGACGGGCACCUUCGGGCCGCCACGUCACAGUGGCUAGUGUCAUUCUUUUGUAUUUUGGUCUGUCAUUUUGGAUUUGAUACAACGUGUGCCUAGUACAACGGGAAAAUGUCGUGUAACCCGGUUUCGAAUUCAGCAUGAAAAAAUACGUCGUAAAUGACUUCAAUCUUAAUCAACCAAACCUUGUAGACCUGUGUUAUUGCAAAUAUCACAAAACAGGACUUUUAUGUUUACCUUAAUCCAUACUGUCACCACGAGAUUUUUGAAGGAUGUUCUGGGACACACUGUAUGAUGCCUAAAUAUUUCAUAUACUAACGUCUAGGUAUUCUAUGCAAUGCUGGAUUUAUAAUUUUAUUGUUACGAGUUUCGAGAUUAGUAAAUUCACCUGCUUCAGUUCGGCCUCCACCAGUGCCCGUGUUUUCGGUCCUGCUAUGUCAAACGUGAAUUUUUCAUAACACCAGCCGUCUUUCUUGUGACGAUCGUGACUGAAACGGAUAUAAUAGAAACAUUACAUUUCUUAAUCAUAUUUAAGAGAAAGAUAUAGAAAGCAAUUAAAUGUAGUACUUUACUAAAAAUUAACUUCACAUAUCGCUCUUUGCAAGAUAAGAACUACAUAUCGCGAAUGUGAUUGAUAAUUUAUAAAAAGGAAGAGAAGAAAAAAUUACUUACGUGUGUGCGACAUUGUUUUUUUGUGGAACUAUUUCAAUAGGUUCUCCAAGAACAUCCACAAUCAUAGAAUCCUUACGGCAAUGUAGCAGAGUACUUAUGUACAUGGAAUGUUUUUUUUUCAUAGAUUUAGCUGUGAAAAUUAUUGUUGAAAAUACUACACAGCUGAUUACGAUUGUUAUAUAUAUAACGCCAUCCAAUCUAUUACUCCAAUUAACUAUAAAGGAAAAUGAAAUAUCAUCAGUGCACAUGUAACAACCAGAUUAAUAAAAUGCAACUCACGUUUA